CAGGAAGUGGCUAUGUAAAGGACACUGAUAUAAAGACAUUGCUGGAUGUAUUUCCUGGUGGCAACUUCAGACCAACAGAAGUGUUUGGAGUAGCAGUAUUUACCACUAUUGACCUGGAAACCACUGACCUAAGAAAAUGUUGGAUGCUUUAAAAUCAUCCCUUUACUGUACAGAUUUGUUGAUGAGAUGUAUAAGAAAGGAUACCACAGUCAGUAUUGAGGGAAAUGGAGUUAAUGCUUAGAAGGAAGCAGAGAUGUCAGACUCCUCUUCACCUCCAAGUCACCAUGACAACUAACAGCAACUUGAAAGGGUGACAGUAUGGAUGAAAGUGACUGAAAAAAAACAUAUUGCAAAUCAAGGAGACAUCUUUUUUUUCUCUCUUACAUCAGAUGUGAAAGCUGCCAGGUUAAAAAGUUGACACAGUUCCUGCAGAGUUACAGACAGCUAUGGAAUCUGAAAGAUUGUGGAAGACUACGAGUGAUGCUAUUAUAUCUUUGGAAAUGCAUCGGGCCACACAGGAAACCAUACUGGAAGAAGACAAAGGGAGAAGGCCAAAGACUGAAAGGCCCUGAUGAUUGCAAGGGUACCUUAGUUGUUUCAGGGACUCACUUGCAGGUGACUGGAUAUAUAAUCA